rnacentral:misc_RNA from 1 species
UAAUAAGUGUUCUACUGCACUUUUUAAAAAUAGUACUCACCUUGUGUGCAAUGUUUGUUAGACUCUUUCGGGAGUCUGACAUUUAUACCAACCUUUUAUAUUUUGAACCACUUUGUCUGAAAAAUAUUAUGAAUACUUAAUUCUAAAUA